rnacentral:rRNA from 1 species
UACAGAGGUCUCAAGCGUUGUUCGGAUUCAUUGGGCGUAAAGGGUGCGUAGGCGGUCGGGUAAGUCUGAUGUGAAAUCUCUGGGCUCAACCCAGAAAUGGCAUUGGAUACUAUUCGGCUUGAGGUCUGGAGGGGGGACUGGAAUUCUCGGUGUAGCAGUGAAAUGCGUAGAUAUCAGGAGGAACACCGGUGGCGAAGGCGGGUCUCUGGGCCGAUACUGACGCUGAGGAGCGAAAGCGUGGGGAGCGAACAGG